AGCUUGUGCAGAUUCUUCCAGCUGUGGACUUUAAAAUUUUAUUUUAUUACAUAUGAGAGUCUUACAUGAGGCAGAGAGGGGAAAGAUACAUACAGACUGACAGAGAUAUAUGCAGCGCAGGUGUCAAAGUGUGCUAACUUAGCACUGGAGCUAGUUCCAGCGGGGCACACUUGAUUUAUGUAAAUUUCCUGCUUCUAUUCAGCCUGGAGAAUGCCAGGAGCUGUGAGGCCAGUUCCCAGGGUCAGCUCCACAAACAUGGCCUCAGCUGAGGCUCUAGCAGGGCUGCAGGCUGGCCCUCCCCAGCUGAGUCACCACAGCGUCCUUGCCACCAGCCUGGGGACCUGGGUUGCUAGGGGCGGCCUUGGGGUCUGUGGGUUAUGCCCACCUGCCCUCUGUACUCUCCCCCCCCCCCGUGCAGGGUGGGCUGCCAGGCGAAGGUGUCUACACUGCCUCACCCACCCCCAACCACCCGUAGCAGAGGCUGUGGAGCCCAGGUGCCACUCCCCUCGAGGAAAGCCCUGGGACCCCUUUCCACCUCUUCGCAAAGGUCACCGCACCGGGCCUGGAGAGUUUUGGGUUGCAACACCCGCCUGGGGUUUGGGGAGGUCAGUUCGUGCCCGGACUGCGAGGGGCGCCCUUCCAGCGCUCGCCCGCCCGCGCCAGCCAGUCGGGCGCAGCUAUUUAUAACCCGGGUCGGGUCGCAUUACCUCCUGACCUUCAGUCGGGCCGCGAUCCGCAGCGAUUAGCAUCUCCCCGCCGCCCGCUGCGAACAAACACCCCUCUGUGCGCCCUCCCUUCGAGGCCUGCAGGAAGCAGGAUAUGGACCCGGAGUCGUGCCCCGUGGCUCCCCAGGGCGCACCCAGCCACGUGCUACUGAUUCUAUUCUAGAGUAUCCACCUUACUUGAUAGAUGGUCUACUAACAUGCCACUGAGGACUAUUUUUACAAUCACGUCAGAUGUCUACAUUCUGAGUACACAAACCAGAGUAGACAAAAUACCACUGCAUGAAACAUGGAUGGAAUGGAACUGAUCUAUCAUGUGAUUCAUUUUAUAAUCAUAUCUCCUUCCAGGGUCCUUCCCAAGUAAAUGAACUACAGGUCAAAGGCUCCCUUAUCCAACACCCCCCCAGUGGCUUUUCACAGCAAUGUCAAACUGUGAUGAGGAGCAAUCUUUUAAAAGGAGAACAGCAAAGUCUAGUUUCUGAACUGAAACAAUCAGGUGGUAAAAGUAUAAAAAAAAAAAAAAAACUAAGCUUGGCUUUUAAAUUAUUUUUAAAUUACAAUGGUAACAUUGACAUUGAUUAGCUAAAACAUAAUACUGUCAUUUAUUUUUUGAGUUGUUUUGUUCUGAAGGUUCCUCUGUCUCCCCCCUCCCCUCUCAAUUUCUGUCCCUAUUAAAAAUAAAUAAAUAAAUAAAUAAAAACACACAUGCUCACUAGUAGAAUGCAGGACUUGAAUGUAAGGUGCCAAGUUUAACCCCCAACCCCUCAUAAAAUGACAAAAGUGCUCUAGUCAUUCUAUCUAAACACUACAAUUAACUUUAUUAUAUUACA